rnacentral:rRNA from 1 species
GGAGUUAGCCGGUGCUUCUUCUGUGAGUGAUGUCCUUCCUGCCGGUUAUUGACCCGCAGGCCUUCUUCCUCACUGAAAGUGCUUUACAACCCGAAGGCCUUCUUCACACACGCGGCAUGGCUGGAUCAGGGUUGCCCCCAUUGUCCAAUAUUCCCCACUGCUGCCUCCCGUAGGAGUCUGGGCCGUGUCUCAGUCCCAGUGUGGCUGAUCAUCCUCUCAGACCAGCUACGGAUCGUCGCCUUGGUGAGCCGUUACCUCACCAACCAGCUAAUCCGACAUAGGCUCAUCCGAUAGCGCGAGGCCCGAAGGUCCCCCGCUUUCCCCCGUAGGGCGUAUGCGGUAUUAGCCUGGGUUUCCCCAGGUUAUCCCCCACUACCGGGCAGAUUCCUAUGCAUUACUCACCCGUCCGCCGCUCGCCACCAGGGAGCAAGCUCCCCGUGCUGCCGCUCGACUUGCAUGUGUUAGGCCUGCCGCCAGCGUUCAAUCUGAGCCAGU